UCCUACUAUGGCAUGAAAUCUUUCAGACCUGAUUAUCCUUAUGAUGACAACCAUAAGCAUGUUUCUGAGGAC
rfam:Triticum aestivum genome assembly, contig: Triticum_aestivum_CS42_TGACv1_scaffold_146299_2BS